UGAAAUAGCUCAAUUAGGUAGAGCAACUGAAUCGUAAUCAGUAGGUUGCGGGUUCGAUUCCUGUUUUCAGC
rnacentral:tRNA from 1 species